rnacentral:SRP_RNA from 1 species
GCUGGGCGUGGUGGCUCACGCCUGUAAUUCCAGCACUUUGGGAGGCCGAGGCGGGUGAAUCACCUGAGGUCGGGAGUUCGAGACCAGCCUGGCCAACAUGGUGAAACCCUGUCUCUU